GUGGGGAGUAUUGGGCAAUGGAGGAAACUCUGACCCAGCGACGCCGCGUGCGGGAUGAAGGCCUUCGGGUUGUAAACCGCUUUCAGCAGGGAAGAAGCGAAAGUGACGGUACCUGCAGAAGAAGCACCGGCUAACUAUGUGCCAGCAGCCGCGGUAAUACAUAGGGUGCAAGCGUUGUCCGGAAUUAUUGGGCGUAAAGAGCUCGUAGGUGGUUCGUCACGUCGGAUGUGAAAAUCUGGGGCUUAACCCCAGACCUGCAUUCGAUACGGGCGAGCUUGAGUAUGGUAGGGGAGUCUGGAAUUCCUGGUGUAGCGGUGGAAUGCGCAGAUAUCAGGAGGAACACCAAUGGCGAAGGCAGGACUCUGGGCCAUUACUGACACUGAGGAGCGAAAGCGUGGGGAGCGAACAGGAUUAGAUACCCUGGUAGUCCACGCCGUAAACGGUGGGCACUAGUUGUGGGGACCUUCCACGGUCUCUGCGACGCAGCUAACGCAUUAAGUGCCCCGCCUGGGGAGUACGAUCGCAAGAU
rnacentral:rRNA from 1 species